UUUUUUUUUUUUUUUUUUUUUUUGACGGAACUGUUCAGGACCUGACAAAGCAGCAGCUUUAAGAGUGGAGGAGCUCUCUUCGGCUGGGGAGAUCCUUACUCUCCAUGGCCACCAGAUGGCGAAGGCUGCCCGCGGCCCAGAAGAGAGAGGAGCCUGCAGACCCGCGCGGAAACUCUGCUGCGGGACCUGGAGGCCAAGGUCGUAAUAAGGAGAAAUUCGAUGACCAGCAAGGCUGGAGUCCCAUCGUCUUGUUGGGGGAGAGGGGGGAGAAGAAAAAGGUGCCUGUAACUUCAGACUGUCCAAGAUAUCGCUUAGCUCCUGCGCCCGGAAGAAAAUCCAGCGCAGGUCGGGUUCCGGCGCGCGGAAGCCCUGCGAACCCCAAAUGUGUGCGCUGAGCCGAGGCCUCUAAGCGGUAGGAGAGAAUCUGACCUCCGACAUUCUUUUCAAGACACGCGCCGGUGGACCGGGUCCUGGGAUUGGCUUACUCCCGGGCUGGACCUUGGGGUUCGCAUAUUUGAAAGCGUAAACUUGAGGAAUGACGGCGGGGUGAUGGGUAUUUUAUAGAGUGGGACUCAAUCGUGCUCAGCAACAGAUUUCUCCAAAUUCCCUUUUAAAAAGAGCCUCCCAGAGCUGUCGAAAUCUCCGCGGGGUGAAAGCUAAACUUUUGGAGUCGCUGUGUAGCCGGGUAGAGGACACGGCGGCGCGAGCCGGAAAGAUAAGUGUCCAGGCGAAUGGGAAAGGAAAGAUCUUAAUUUUUGUUCCUACUGUUAGCUGAAUGUCCAUAAAAAUCAAAGGGAAUGCGGGGAAGUUUUUAUUCCAGAGCGUUUCCAUGACACCCGCAGAGAUUUAAAAAAUUACAUUCCUCCCCCUACGCAGGUUUAAUUCGGAAAGAAGAGACUGCAGAGGAGAGGGAAGACCGUGAGUCUGCUUUCACCUAGGUUUAAAGCGAAUCAAAGACGGCUGUAAAAAGGGAAACCGGGACCAAAAACAGAUUUGGAGCCUCGAAACUCUCCAUUGAAGGUUUGGAAGAUACGUUGCUGCAGACUUGAAACCGGCUCCAAAUCCGGCCCAAACAUGGGCUGAAAAUAUGGCGCGCUAAUCUGCUGCUUCCCCUCCUCCUCAAGUUCUUUCUGACUCUUCCCACCUUUCCCAGUUUCCCUUCCAGACGUCUGCGGCUCCCCACUCCACCCCCAGGAUAGCUACUCUACAUCCCGACAAUUCCCAGCUUCUACACCCAGGAGGAGGAAUUCUGGAACCACCCAGAGCGAACUCGUGCCGGGGCGGGGUGGGGACCGGAGGAAGGUCCUGCUCCGAAUUCUCUCCAGAGCAGAAAAGAAUUCUAGAGGCUACAUGUGGGCUGCUUUCCCCCCUUCUUCCUUUUUUCCCUCGCAAACCAACAACCAAAAAGUGUUUGGUGAUGGAAAGAACACCAGUGGAAAACGGCAAAUAACAGUAUUUCCAACUCCGAGUCAGGUCCUCUUUGCACUGCUUUUUCCUGUUUCAUUGCAAUUUAUUGAUUUUAUUGUGGUUUUUUGUUUAUUUGGGGCAAGAACGGAGAUGUGAACCAGGACGAGCCAGCAGACCCCCGAGCCAGUAUCUCCUCCCUGGGCAGGGAACACCGCCUGCACCGGUGCAUACUAGGAGACCCUGGCGGAGAAUGUAAACAAACCGGGCGCCGAGCCCUUGAUCUUUAUUUAAAUAGAGGCUUGUUUAUCGGUGUCAUCCUAGGAGGAUUAAUUAGAUACAUCUCUUCACAAUUUGGUGUCUGACACUCCAUCUUAGGAAUGCCUUAUCAUAAGGUGUUAAUUGGGGCCACUCAGCCACUUACGUUUCUAUUAAACACUGUGAGGGACUUUUCACAAGUACCAGGUUCUUUUUUACUGUACGAUGCAAAAACAUACAGGACCCGAAAUAGACUAGGGCCAGAAUCUGCUAUAUCCCGGCAGUGAUUAGCACUUUGGGGCUUUCUAGAGGGCAGAAAUAGGAGAGCACUGUUUUCGAAAUUCCAUCGCAUCUCCCAAUAUUCGGUGGUUGGAUGCAGAUGUAAGGGGGCUGUUGGGGGUGUGGGGAAGGCGCUGACCAGGAUAGGGGGGCUAUGAGUCUCCCUUCCGGAAUCUAAAUCAGUCAUCCACAGUACAUAUAUCUUAAAAAGCACAUCUUCAACGCUUUUGUCCUUGGCUCCCCGGUAAAGUUCGGGGCGCCUUUGCCAAAGUGUUUUGAGUAGGCCGUUCGGAAACGCGGAGCAGGAGUUCGAGCCCCCAAGGUCACGGGUGGCGCGGGAAGAACUCGGGCCCCAGAGGGACGGAGGGGAAGGGAGACAGGACAGUCGAGGUACAAGGUCCUGGCGGCCUUAAUUGGGCGCAGAAGGGGAGGAGGUCUCGGCUGAUUGCUCGCCUCCCAGCAGCUAAUCCUCUUAGCAGCUGCAUUUCCGCGCUACACAGUUAGCAGAAUGAUCCUCCCAGCUAGACCUUUACCCCGGGAGGGUCCAGGAGGGGGCUGGAAAGGUUUGCAAUCUGGGCCUGAAGCCGUCUGCAGAUAAGCCUGGCGGGACGUCUGGCUGGGGGGACAAAGGGGACCCUCCACCCCACUCUUUGGACCUCCCAGGGUUCAGCCAGGGGAUGGGCUGUCCUUCGUCUUCCCGUGGAGCGUGGGCCAAAUAAACGGAACUAAGCGCAAGGUGAACUGCUCCAAGGUCACUGUUUGCAGAGCGGCAGUGCACGGAACGACUGGAAUCCUCCUUUGUAAGUGCCACGCCCGUCCCUAGCCUGCGCCUCAGACCGAGUCCGGGCGGAGUUUGACUGCAGCUACUGAGGCCGGCAGCCGGCGGCGGCGGGUGCGCAGCGUCUGGGUUCAGAAGAAAGCCGCAGGUGGGCGCAGAAGCUGAGCUGUGUGCAGCCCCCCGCUCCGCCGCGCCCCAGGGACCCUGAACUGGUGGGCGCUCAAAGGGCCACGGGGGUUCCCAGGGAGCCUAGGUGGGCCUAAGGAUGGGUGGCCCCAAGUAAGCCUAGAAAAAAGCCCAGAGAACUUAGUGGCCAGGCGCUCUGACAGAGCCUGGUCUCCAAGAGCCAGAAGCGGAGGUUUUCGAGGCUUGGUUAAGUCUGAUGUGGGCAAUCGGC
rnacentral:lncRNA from 1 species